rnacentral:rRNA from 1 species
AAAUUGAAGAGUUUGAUCAUGGCUCAGAUUGAACGCUGGCGGCAGGCCUAACACAUGCAAGUCGAACGGUAACAGGAAGCAGCUUGCUGCUUUGCUGACGAGUGGCGGACGGGUGAGUAAUGUCUGGGAAACUGCCUGAUGGAGGGGGAUAACUACUGGAAACGGUGGCUAAUACCGCAUAACGUCGCAAGACCAAAGAGGGGGACCUUCGGGCCUCUUGCCAUCAGAUGUGCCCAGAUGGGAUUAGCUUGUUGGUGAGGUAACGGCUCACCAAGGCGACGAUCCCUAGCUGGUCUGAGAGGAUGACCAGCCACACUGGAACUGAGACACGGUCCAGACUCCUACGGGAGGCAGCAGUGGGGAAUAUUGCACAAUGGGCGCAAGCCUGAUGCAGCCAUGCCGCGUGUAUGAAGAAGGCCUUCGGGUUGUAAAAGUACUUUCAGCGGGGAGGAAGGUGUUGUGGUUAAUAACCGCAGCAAUUGACGUUACCCGCAGAAGAAGCACUCGGCUAACUCCGUGCCAGCAGCCGCGGUAAUACGGAGGGUGCAAGCGUUAAUCGGAAUUACUGGGCGUAAAGCGCACGCAGGCGGUCUGUCAAGUCGGAUGUGAAAUCCCCGGGCUCAACCUGGGAACUGCAUUCGAAACUGGCAGGCUUGAGUCUUGUAGAGGGGGGUAGAAUUCCAGGUGUAGCGGUGAAAUGCGUAGAGAUCUGGAGGAAUACCGGUGGCGAAGGCGGCCCCCUGGACAAAGACUGACGCUCAGGUGCGAAAGCGUGGGGAGCAAACAGGAUUAGAUACCCUGGUAGUCCACGCCGUAAACGAUGUCUACUUGGAGGUUGUGCCCUUGAGGCGUGGCUUCCGGAGCUAACGCGUUAAGUAGACCGCCUGGGGAGUACGGCCGCAAGGUUAAAACUCAAAUGAAUUGACGGGGGCCCGCACAAGCGGUGGAGCAUGUGGUUUAAUUCGAUGCAACGCGAAGAACCUUACCUGGUCUUGACAUCCACAGAAGAAUCCAGAGAUGGAUUUGUGCCUUCGGGAACUGUGAGACAGGUGCUGCAUGGCUGUCGUCAGCUCGUGUUGUGAAAUGUUGGGUUAAGUCCCGCAACGAGCGCAACCCUUAUCCUUUGUUGCCAGCGGUCCGGCCGGGAACUCAAAGGAGACUGCCAGUGAUAAACUGGAGGAAGGUGGGGAUGACGUCAAGUCAUCAUGGCCCUUACGACCAGGGCUACACACGUGCUACAAUGGCGCAUACAAAGAGAAGCGACCUCGCGAGAGCAAGCGGACCUCAUAAAGUGCGUCGUAGUCCGGAUUGGAGUCUGCAACUCGACUCCAUGAAGUCGGAAUCGCUAGUAAUCGUGGAUCAGAAUGCCACGGUGAAUACGUUCCCGGGCCUUGUACACACCGCCCGUCACACCAUGGGAGUGGGUUGCAAAAGAAGUAGGUAGCUUAACCUUCGGGAGGGCGCUUACCACUUUGUGAUUCAUGACUGGGGUGAAGUCGUAACAAGGUAACCGUAGGGGAACCUGCGGUUGGAUCACCUCCUUA